AGGGCAAGUCUGGUGCCAGCAGCCGCGGUAAUUCCAGCUCCAAUAGCGUAUAUUAAAGUUGUUGCAGUUAAAAAGCUCGUAGUUGAAUUUCGGGAUCAAUCUAUCGGUCGUGCAAUAGUACGUACUGAUUUUAUUGAUUCCUCCCUUCUGAUGAACUAUGAUGUCAUUAAUUUGGUGUCAUAGGGAAUCAGGACUGUUACUUUGAAAAAAUUAGAGUGUUUAAAGCAGGCUCACGCUUGAAUACAUUAGCAUGGAAUAACGAAAUAGGACGUUUGAUUCUAUUUUGUUGGUUUCUAGGAUCGACGUAAUGAUUAAUAGGGAUAGUUGGGGGCAUUAGUAUUCAAUUGUCAGAGGUGAAAUCCUUGGAUUUAUUGAAGACUAACUACUGCGAAAGCAUUUGCCAAGGAUGUUUUCAUUAAUCAAGAACGAAAGUUAGGGGAUCGAAGACGAUCAGAUACCGUCGUAGUCUUAACCAUAAACUAUGCCGACUAGGGAUCGGAUGAUGUUAAUUUUUUAAUGACUCAUUCGGCGCCUUACGGGAA
rnacentral:rRNA from 1 species